UACGGAGGAUGCAAGCGUUAUCCGGAAUGAUUGGGCGUAAAGCGUCCGCAGGUGGCUAUGUAAGUCUGCUGUUAAAGAGUGAGGCUCAACCUCAUAAGAGCAGUCGAAACUACAUGGCUAGAGUGCGUUCGGGGCAGAGGGAAUUCCUGGUGUAGCGGUGAAAUGCGUAGAGAUCAGGAAGAACACCGGUGGCGAAAGCGCUCUGCUAGGCCGCAACUGACACUCAUGGACGAAAGCUAGGGGAGCGAAUGGG
rnacentral:rRNA from 1 species